UGGGGAAUUUUGGACAAUGGGCGAAAGCCUGAUCCAGCAAUGCCGCGUGUGUGAAGAAGGCCUUCGGGUUGUAAAGCACUUUUGUCCGGAAAGAAAUCCUUGGCUCUAAUACAGUCGGGGGAUGACGGUACCGGAAGAAUAAGCACCGGCUAACUACGUGCCAGCAGCCGCGGUAAUACGUAGGGUGCAAGCGUUAAUCGGAAUUACUGGGCGUAAAGCGUGCGCAGGCGGUUUGCUAAGACCGAUGUGAAAUCCCCGGGCUCAACCUGGGAACUGCAUUGGUGACUGGCAGGCUAGAGUAUGGCAGAGGGGGGUAGAAUUCCACGUGUAGCAGUGAAAUGCGUAGAGAUGUGGAGGAAUACCGAUGGCGAAGGCAGCCCCCUGGGCCAAUACUGACGCUCAUGCACGAAAGCGUGGGGAGCAAACAGGAUUAGAUACCCUGGUAGUCCACGCCCUAAACGAUGUCAACUAGUUGUUGGGGAUUCAUUUCCUUAGUAACGUAGCUAACGCGUGAAGUUGACCGCCUGGGGAGUACGGUCGCAAGAUUAAAACACAAAUGAAUUGACGGGGUC
rnacentral:rRNA from 1 species